GGAAUCUGACAUCUGUGUAAUCGUGUUUGAAUCGGGGGAGUGUGCAAACUGUGACCUCCUCAAAUUCCUGUCCAUGGAGCAGGUAGAUGUCACACAAUAAAAGACAAGCCACAGCUUCCUCUGUGGUGGUACUUUAAGCAUCGGGAAGUAUUUUGGAAGGACCAUCGCUGGAAGCUUUUGAGGAGACCUGAGCCCGAUGACUAAUGUUCUUUUGUACCACCCUUUGGGAAACGUUGAAAUUAAUAGGUUUGGCUUGAAGAACAAAAGUUGAUGGGAUCAAAUGAAAGAAUCCAAAGACAAAAGGGAACAUCAAGGCAGCCAGGUGUUCGAACAAAGCAGAUUGCCUUAUAAGGGAACAAGAAGAUCAAUUCCUGGCUUCUGAUAACAAUGAGAACUGUCAUUCAACUGAACUUUCCUUACAGUGAUGAAAAAAACAGUGACUGGAAACCAAGGAUUCUGAGCAAAAUAAUCAAAUUUGAAGGUGAAACAAACCAACAAAAACAAACCACUUUCAGAGAGGCAAUAAGUAGGCAAAGUAUCAAGUAGCCCAUCUGUGCUCAGGAAGGCGGCAGAGGGAUUCCUGCUGGGAAGAGGAACGUGAUCCCAGAUGGCAGCGGAAUGCAGGGGGAAACAAGGGAUCAUGUGACAGACCCAUGGAGGACCCUGUGUAGUUGGAUACUGUAUACUGACUGUCACUGACUUCCUGUUCUCCUCAGCUGCUUCUCAAGACAAAGCCAGAAGAGCAAGUGCCUGAAAGCUAAAAGCACCUGCGGUGAUCCAUGCCCAGCCUCUACCCAACUUUGACACAGUUUCACACUAGAGCUCAGUUUGACUUGAAGCUCACUACAUAGCCCAGACUCCCCUCACACCUAUGACACUCUUGCCUCGGCCUCUUGAGUGCUAAGAUGACAGGUGUGAGCCAUCAUAUUCAUCUUCCAGCAUUGAUUUUUUAAAAAGAUUUACUUUUAUUUGCAUGUGCGUAUGUGUACACGUGCGUGCAUGCCUGUGUGCAUACACGUGUGGAUAUGUAUAUGCAAGUACGAGUGCUCACGGAGCCCAGAGACAUCAGAUUUCCCUGAAUUUUCAGGUGCUUGUGAGCCAUUCAACAUGCACCUUGAGAAUUGAACUCAGGUCCCACAUAAGAGCAGUGUGUGCUCUUAAUUACUCAGCUAUACCCCCAGCCUUGCAUCUUUGAUUUUAAUAGCAGUAAGAUUUAGUCUCAAAGCACAGACCUUUCCUAUCCCUUUAGCUGGAAUGGAUGUAGUGGAUACAAGACAGUGAGAAAUGAG